rnacentral:rRNA from 1 species
UACGUAGGGACCGAGCGUUGUCCGGAAUCAUUGGGCGUAAAGAGCGUGUAGGCGGCUUGCUAAGUCUUGCGUGAAAUCUCGGGGCUCAACCCCGAGCGGUCGUGGGAAACUGUCAGGCUUGAGGCAGGGAGAGGGAUGUGGAAUUCCCGGUGUAGUAGUGAAAUGCGUAGAUAUCAGGAGGAACACCCAUGGCGAAGGCAGCAAACUGGUCAUCAACUGACGCUGAGGCGCGAAAGCGUGGGUAGCAAACAGG